CCUGUCCCUCUGGCCCCACGCUCUUCCCAGGCACACUGACUUCCCGGGCGUUUAUCAGGUAGCCACAAGAGGUGAAGAGGCAAACAAAAGCACUCCAGGCUCUCGAGGAGGUUUGGGCUUCCUAGCCAACUCAGUCUGCAACUCAC
rnacentral:lncRNA from 14 species